GUUUUUUCCAGGGACCCAGGUAAAGACUGCCUUGAUACAGAGAAGAUCAGCAUGGCCCUGAGCAAGGAUGACUCACAGAUUUGUGACGUUCAUUCUUUGCUU
ensembl:snRNA U6 U6 spliceosomal RNA